GAUGAACGCUGGCGGCGUGCCUAAUACAUGCAAGUCGAGCGAACGGACGAGAAGCUUGCUUCUCUGAUGUUAGCGGCGGACGGGUGAGUAACACGUGGAUAACCUACCUAUAAGACUGGGAUAACUUCGGGAAACCGGAGCUAAUACCGGAUGAUAUUUUGAACCGCAUGGUUCAAAAGUGAAAGACGGUCUUGCUGCCACUUAUAGAUGGAUCCGCGCUGCAUUAGCUAGUUGGUAAGGUAACGGCUUACAAAGGCAACGUUGCAUAGCCGACCUGAGAGGGGGAUCGGCCACACUGGAACGGGGACACGGUCCAGACUCCUACGGGAGGAAGCAGUAGGGAAUCUUCCGCAUUGGGCGAAAGCCUGCCGGAGCAACGCCGCGUGAUUGAGGAAGUUUUUCGGAUCGUAAACCUUUGUUAUAAGGGAAGAACAUAUGUGUAAGUAACUGUGCACAUCUUGACGGUACCUAAUCAGAAAGCCACGGCUAACUACGUG
rnacentral:rRNA from 1 species